CUUUAUUUUUAGGAUCAUCUCAAAAAUGGCUACAGAAGAAGAUUUUGUCAACCUCCCAGGGCACCUGACAUUAAUAUGAGGCAAAACAAGAAUAUACUGGUAAUCUUACAAGACUGCUUUGAAGAAAAAAGCCUUGUCAAUGACUUUAGCACAAAUUCUACAAAAUCAGUGCUUUAUUCAACACCUAAAAUAAAAGAGUCUUGUUUUCAGUCACCAAGCAGAGAGGCUCAGUGCCAGAUAUCACAUUCAAAGUCAUCUCCGGUUUCUUCAAGAAAGAAAGGAACCUCUCUGCAGUUGACUGUAGAACCAAAUGAAGAUGUCAACAAAUCAGUUCAGGUCCAUGAAGUUUAUCAGAAAAUUUUGGCAGCUGAUGUUGGUUCUAAAAAUACAGCUGAUUCAAGAAAAAUGUCAAGUACAAAAUUCAAAAAUCAUCACAAUGACGCCAAUGAAGAAUUAUACUUACCUGUUGGUUCUCCUUUUGUUCUUUUGGAUGCAAAAACAUCUGUACCACAAAAUGCUAUUUCAUCUAUUGGCCAAAAGAGAGAGACCUACACUUUUGAAGAUUCAGUCAAUAUGCUGUCUUCAAGUACAGAUAUUUCUCUUAAAACCAAAAAAAGGUUAGACUUUGAAGAUAAAAACAUUUUGAAGAAAGCAGAAAUAGAGAAUAAAAUAUCAGAUAUAGUGGAUGAAGUAUCAGAAAGACCACCAGAGAGAAAACCAUCAGAAACAUCUCAGAAAAUAAUACAAAAUUCAGAAUAUGAAAUUCAAUCACAAGCUAAAAAGAGUUUUUCAACAUUGUUUUUAGAAACUUUAAAAAGAAAAAGUGAAUCCAGUCCUGUUUUUAGGUAUAUAGCAACUGCUCCACCUCAGUCAUCUCUUGCAAAUGAUAAGAAUUUAGAGGAUGAAUUUAUAAUUGAUGAAUCAGAUAGUUUUGCUGGUCGGUCUUGGAUUACUAUACCAAGAAAGGCUGUGCCUCAGAAACAAUGCGCAGUAUCCCCUACUGAGAGUACUGUGGUCCUUCAAAGUAAGAAAUCAAGAGAAAAACAUCACAGUGUAACACCUACAACUUUGACAAAUGACAAACAUUCUGGCAAAGCUCCCCCAGUACAGAAAUCUCAGCCCUCUGAUCAAAGAAAUGUGGGUAGAAAUUGUGCUUUGACAGAUGAAAUGAAAAAUAAUUGUAGAUCUACAAAAAAUGAGAUGUAUUCUAAGAAUGCAGAAAAAUCAUCUGGAAACAAAAGGAUUAUAAAACAAAAACAGAAAAGAAAAGUUAAGCCCAGUGUAGUUGAAGAAGAGGUUGAUGUGGAACAAGCUAAAGAUAAAAAUAUAAAUGUGUCACAUAUUGCCCAAGACAAGUCACAGAGAAAUUCAGACAGAAGUGUGGAAGUGUGUGAAGAGAAGAGAAAAGUUCAUAUUUCUAAAAAACAGAUACCACCUGUGGGAAGUAAGAAAAGUAGCACCAAUGUUACUCAUACAGCAAAGCAGAGAAAAAAUAGGGAAUAUGAAAAGAAGGAUUUUUCAAAUGAAUCCAAGAAAAACAAUCUUGUACCUGAAGAAGUGUCUUUGACUGUCACGAGAAGUCAAAGAAUUUCCAGACGUCCGUCUAAUUGGUGGAUGGUAAAAUCAGAGCAGAGUCUUUUUUAUAGCAGUUCUUCAAUAAGAAAUGAAUUGUCAGUGCCUCACAGCAGUGGGCGAAAACCUGCUGAAAAAACAAAUCAAUCAUCUAAGAAUACUGGAAAAAAAAGUAUUCCAUUUAAAGGGCAGAAGAGAGCUAAUCCAGGCCGCUCCAGAGCACAGAAGAUUUUAAAUGUAAAAGAUUCUAGAGGAAUUACUGACCAUGAUGAAAUUUCUGGUUCUUCCCCGAAUGAGUCUUUGGAAUGUGAGGAGGCAGACAUGGCUAAGAAGAAUAAUCUUGAUCAUUCUGGAGUUACAGGAAGUCCCAAAGCUGAAGAUAGUAUUAUGACUGCAGACAAUGUUCAUCCAAAGCCUCAGAACAGUGAACAUUCAUGUAAGACACCUGCAGAGUCUGACUCUGAUUCUGGAGAGCCUAAAACUUUAGAUUUGGAAGGAAGUGGACCUUUUAGGCUCAAGAAUUAUUUAAUGUCUGGAAAGAAUAAUUCAGAUGCAGAUGAUGAGGAAGUUCAGGAAAUUUCAGGUGACUCAAGAGUAAAAAGAUCUAAAGUAACACAAGAGAACAAAGUACAUCACAAAUUAGUAUUGCCCUCCAACACACCAAAUGUGCGCAGGACCAAGAGAACACGAUUAAAACCUUUGGAAUACUGGCGGGGGGAGCGAGUAGAUUAUCAAGAAAGGAAAUCAGGAGGAUUUGUGAUUGGAGGAAUACUGUCCCCAGAAACAGUAUCAUCUAAAAGGAAGGCAAAAAGAGAAAAGAAAAAAGUCAACCAAAUAGUUAAUAGGAAAAGGAUCUGUCUGGAUAACAAUGAAAGAAAAAAAGAAUUAGUCAUAAAUCUGAAUAUACCUCUGGGAGAUCCUUUGCAGCCAACAAGCGUAAAGGAUCCGGAAACAAGAAAGAUUAUUCUCCUGGAUCUUUUAAGGCCACGAAAUACAUAUAAAUUUUCAGUUGAAAAUGAUGAGUUGAAAGUAUAUAAAACAUUGGAUACACCCCUUUUUUCUACUGGAAAAUUGAUAUUAGGGCCACAUCAAGAGAAAGGAAGGCAGCAUGUUGGCCUGGAUACAUUGGUUUUUUAUGUUAACUUUGGUGACCUUUUAUGUACCUUACACGAAACACCUUAUGUAAUAACAACUGGGGAUUCAUUCUAUGUUCCUUCAGAAAGGAAGCAAGAUGAAGUGCUAUAUUAUCAACUGAAAAUAGAAACUUUAGAGCAAAGCCAAAUACUCGGGGCCACCAAGAACUGACAACUUAUACAUCUGCAAAUAUCUUUCUGGCAUGGAUAGUCUGUAGAGCAUUGGCUGACAAUCCAGACAGGAUAUCCCAGGCCUGUUCUUUAGACAGUGGCAAAAGGAAAAAAGCAAGCAAGCCAUAACAUUCAAGAUUUCCAAAACCCCUAGACUUGUUCUAUCAGCCAAAGCAAGUCACCAAAAGGAAGUCCAGAUUUACGGCGGAAAAAGAUUCCCUCUAUUUCUUUGGUAAGAGGAACUGCAAAGUCACAUGGCAAAGAGAUGAAAGAACACCACACUGCAGAGGAAACUCACACUGGGAGAAAAGAAAUAGAAUGAAAAAGAUCACAGUGAAUUGGCAUACAACCAUACUGAAAACGACAGAAACAAUUCAG